rnacentral:lncRNA from 1 species
AGGCCGAGAAGCACACACACCAUAGACCCCACACCACGCACACCAUAGACACACAUACCACACACCACACACCAUACCACACACAACACACACCACAGACACACACACCAUACACCAUAGACACACAUACCACACACACCAUAGACACACACACUACACACCAUAGACACACACACCACACACCAUAAGCACACACACCACACACACCAUAGACAUACACACCAUAGACACACAGACACACAUGCCAUAGACACACAUGCCACACACGACACACCAUAGUCACACCACACAUACACCAGACACCAAGACACACACACUACAUACACACCAUAGACACACAUACCUACCACACACUACAAACCAUAGGCACAUACACCAUAGACACACGCACUACAUACACACCGUAGACACACACCACAGAUACAUACAUCACACACCACAUACCAUAGGCACACUGCAUAAACAUCACACACACACC